GUGCACGCUGGCGGUAGGCCUAACACAUGCAAGUCGAACGGCAGCACAGUAAGAGCUUGCUCUUACGGGUGGCGAGUGGCGGACGGGUGAGGAAUACAUCGGAAUCUACUUUUUUGUGGGGGAUAACGUAGGGAAACUUACGCUAAUACCGCAUACGACCUACGGGUGAAAGCAGGGGAUCUUCGGACCUUGCGCGAUUGAAUGAGCCGAUGUCGGAUUAGCUAGUUGGCGGGGUAAAGGCCCACCAAGGCGACGAUCCGUAGCUGGUCUGAGAGGAUGAUCAGCCACACUGGAACUGAGACACGGUCCAGACUCCUACGGGAGGCAGCAGUGGGGAAUAUUGGACAAUGGGCGCAAGCCUGAUCCAGCCAUACCGCGUGGGUGAAGAAGGCCUUCGGGUUGUAAGGCCCUUUUGUUGGGAAAGAAAAGCAGCAGGUUAAUACCCCGCUGUUCUGACGGUACCCAAAGAAUAAGCACCGGCUAACUUCGUG
rnacentral:rRNA from 1 species